rnacentral:misc_RNA from 1 species
AGAAGCAGAGAUGAGGAGAAGAGGGAAGGAAAGAUUGGUUAGUUGGUGGUUAAGGAAGUGAAGCUUUUGUUGGCAACUCGGAAUGCCUUAGCAAAGCAUAUUAAUACAAGCGACACGAACCCAAGUAAUGUACAAAAUCUGUGGGUGGUUUCUGUUACCAACCUUUGGUAGUUUGAAAAAGGAAUUGUAUUCACAUUUAUGGGUUAGUUUUCUUGUGUUUCUG